rnacentral:rRNA from 1 species
UACGUUCCCGGGCCUUGUACACACCGCCCGUCACGUCACGAAAGUUGGUAACACCCGAAGCCCAUGGCCUAACCCACGUGUUGGGGGGGAGUGGUCGAAGGUGGGACCGGCGAUUGGGACG